CGCAGGUCUUAAUAGAGAAGCUGGGUGCAAAGCCCGCACGAUCCCGUCGCUGUAAAAGUGAGUUCGUCCAAAAUAUGCCACUGGUAUUUGUCUGGGAAGGCUUGGAUGAAUGAUGAACUUGAGUCAGAAGAACUGCCUGAUAAUUA
rnacentral:ncRNA from 1 species